ensembl:Mt_tRNA tRNA-Val
CAGGGCGUGGCUGAGGAGCCAAGCGACCCCCUUACACUGAGUAGACAUCCGUGCGAAUCGGAUCGCCCUGA